GACGAACGCUGGCGGCGUGCCUAAUACAUGCAAGUCGAGCGGAGCGGCGGACGGGCGAGUAAUGCCUAGGAAUCUGCCUGGUAGUGGGGGAUAACGUACGGAAACGGGCGCUAAUACCGCAUACUAUCAGAUGAGCCUAGGUCGGAUUAGCUGGUUGGUGGGGUAAAGGCCUACCAAGGCGACGAUCCGUAACUGGUCUGAGAGGAUGAUCAGUCAAACUGGAACUGAGACACGGUCCAGCCUCCUACGGGAGGCAGCAGUGGGGAAUAUUGGACAAUGGGCGAAAGCCUGAUCCAGCCAUGCCGCGUGUGUGAAGAAGGUCUUCGGAUUGUAAAGCACUUUAAGUUGGGAGGCGUUACCAACAGAGUAAGCACCGGCUAACUUCGUGCCAGCAGCCGCGGUAAUUC
rnacentral:rRNA from 1 species